rnacentral:rRNA from 1 species
UAAAAGUCGUAACAAGGUUUCCGUAGGUGAACCUGCGGAAGGAUCAUUAGUGAAGCUUGCUAAUCUGACGGCAAGUUGUGAGCUGUCGAGAUGUGUGUUUAGUAUUGUGAAUGGAUUUUGAACAGACGAGGCUAGCCUCGCAAGUAUAUCGACAGGUAUUGUCGAUUGAUGGUGGACCAAUUAGCUGGUGGGUCGAUGAAGGACACAGCUAGCUGUGCGAAAGAAUGUGAAUUGCAGGACACAUGAGCAUCGACACUUUGAACGCAUAUUGCGGGUGAAUGGAUUCCAUUCACCCAGUCAUGGAUCAAGGCCGGUUAACAACUGGAAAGCUAGAAGGCUUCGUGUAUCUGACUGCUUGUCAGAGCGUUGCCGCUUAAUCGAGAAAAGCUGUCUGGUUCCCGUCGAGUUAAAGCCAUUCAGUCGUGAGAGAAGCACGGCAGGCAUGAAUGGUUGACGGGAGAUAAAAGCCUGAUAGCGUGGUGAGCAGGGAUCGAAACGGAAACGACCCCUAACCUGACACAUCCAUAUAACCGCGGCUUGAUCUCAUGACAGGCUACCCGCUGAAUUUAAGCAUAUCAAUA